rnacentral:rRNA from 1 species
GACGAACGCGGCGGCGUGCCUAAUACAUGCAAGUAGAACGCUGAAGGAGGAGCUUGCUCUUCUGGAUGAGUUGCGAACGGGUGAGUAACGCGUAGGUAACCUGCCUGGUAGCGGGGGAUAACUAUUGGAAACGAUAGCUAAUACCGCAUAAUAGUAGAUGUUGCAUGACAUUUACUUAAAAGGUGCAAUUGCAUCACUACCAGAUGGACCUGCGUUGUAUUAGCUAGUUGGUGGGGUAACGGCUCACCAAGGCGACGAUACAUAGCCGACCUGAGAGGGUGAUCGGCCACACUGGGACUGAGACACGGCCCAGACUCCUACGGGAGGCAGCAGUAGGGAAUCUUCGGCAAUGGACGAAAGUCUGACCGAGCAACGCCGCGUGAGUGAAGAAGGUUUUCGGAUCGUAAAGCUCUGUUGUAAGAGAAGAACGAGUGUGAGAGUGGAAAGUUCACACUGUGACGGUAUCUUACCAGAAAGGGACGGCUAACUACGUGCCAGCAGCCGCGGUAAUACGUAGGUCCCGAGCGUUGUCCGGAUUUAUUGGGCGUAAAGCGAGCGCAGGCGGUUAGAUAAGUCUGAAGUUAAAGGCUGUGGCUUAACCAUAGUACGCUUUGGAAACUGUUUAACUUGAGUGCAAGAGGGGAGAGUGGAAUUCCAUGUGUAGCGGUGAAAUGCGUAGAUAUAUGGAGGAACACCGGUGGCGAAAGCGGCUCUCUGGCUUGUAACUGACGCUGAGGCUCGAAAGCGUGGGGAGCAAACAGG